CCAGACGGCCGGACGGCCGCUGAUGCCGCAAGGCGUUAGAGGAAAGUCCGGGCUCCAUGGGAACACGGUGUCGGCCAACAGCCGGCGGGGGCGACCCCAGGGAAAGUGCCACAGAAAACAAACCGCCCGCGCAAGGGCACGUCCCCCGCGGGCAAGGGCGAAACGGUGCGGUAAGAGCGCACCGCGCCUCUGGCAACAGGGGUGGCAGGGUAAACCCCACCGGGAGCAAGACCGAAUAGGGGUGGCUGCGCUGGCGACAGUGCAGGGAUGUUCCCAUCCCGCCACCCGGGUAGGUCGCGUGAGGCGUGCCGCAAGGUGCGUCCCAGAGGAAUGGUCGUCCAGCGCGGCAACGCGCUGACAGAACCCGGCUUACAGGCCGUCUGGCUGC
rnacentral:RNase_P_RNA from 1 species